AACCUUCGUAUCGUUCGCCCUCUCGCGGGGCAAAUCCGUGAUGAUCGGCUUCUUCUGGCAGUUCAUCACUUGCGAGAAAUCAAGGCUAGUGUAGUGCUGCGCUGCGAUGCCGUAGAUGCAGUCCGCAUAGUCUAUCUGGCUUGGAUCACGUCGUAGCUAAACGAGAGGUCGCCCUUCCGACGGGGCAACAGCUUCGUUUUCAGUUGCUUGACCUUGUACUUCGGAUCCCGAAUGCAGCACGCGUACAUUGAAGUCUCUGCCAAAUCACAUUUCCUAAGAUGUGAGCAAUCGCAGAAGGGAAGAUCAAGCAAUCUUGUGCAACAGAUAAUCGAUCGAUGCCAGAGUUUAAGCCGAUCAGUGAUGUCACAGCAGGUUACAGAAGAAAUAUGAGCCACGAUCGAGAAAUUUUCCGUAUCACAUGUGCCACUUACUCUUAUGUACAGGUGCAGGACAUUUGUAUCCAUCAUUCUCGAGCCGUAUCGUCUUUGGCAUCGGGAUGCCUGGCGGUUUCACACCAAAUUGUGUGCCCGCGAUCUGAACUAUCGCCUGGAUUUGGGCCAAAUCCCCUGCAGUUUGGAUCGAUGUCUUCAGAUCUGUCUGAGGAUACCCUGAGAAGGACGUCCCAUUCCCGACCGAGGCUGGGAAAUCCUGGCUGCCGACCAGGACUGCCCCACCCGCUGAGACUAGAAUCUCCUGGUGCUGGAAUCCAAUAAAUAUCUUCCAGGCCUGGAGCUCAUGCGUGCCCGUGUUCAAGACCGUCGCAGUUGAGUUGAAGGCCCAGGACUGCGCCGACGCAUUCUUCACGUGCGGGAAUUCCUUGACCCUCGAGAUGAAAUUGUAGGAGAUGAAGAUGCCGUUGCAGUUCUCUUCCGCUGGAGGAGGAGCUGCAGGCGGAUCAUCAUCGUAGUCCUGAGCAUUGACGUUGUUCUGGAUUGCAAAACAAACAAAGAGAAUGAUGAACAAGCUCAAUGCUCUUCUGGCUUCGCUCAUGAUGUCCUAGGAUUGUAGUGGUAUUUUCAAGGGAAAUCUCUCCAGGAAAAUCUCAUCUGAAAUGAACCUGAAGAUUUCAUUGAUGUGUGCUCAUUUCCUCCUCCCUCUUUUGUUAUUCUUUUGUUCAGAGUGAUUGAAUCUUGAUCUUUUGGUUAUUGGGGAGGGGGAGAGAGAGAGAGAGUGAAAAGUGGGGUGAAGGAGGAAAAGUGGAAAUGGAGGGAGAGAAGCACAAGUGUGCAAAAUUAGCAAGGGACAAAUUCAGCUCUCCA